UACGUAGGGUGCGAGCGUUGUCCGGAAUUAUUGGGCGUAAAGAGCUCGUAGGCGGUCUGUUGCGUCGGCUGUGAAAACCCGAGGCUCAACCUCGGGCCUGCAGCCGAUACGGGCAGACUAGAGUUCGGCAGGGGAGACUGGAAUUCCUGGUGUAGCGGUGAAAUGCGCAGAUAUCAGGAAGAACACCCGUGGCGAAGGCGGCUCUCUGGGACGGUACUGACGCUGAGGAGCGAAAGUGUGGGGAGCGAACAGG
rnacentral:rRNA from 1 species